GACGAACGCUGGCGGCGUGCUUAAUACAUGCAAGUCGAACGAAAAGGCCCUGCUCUUGUUGGGUUCUCGAGUGGCGAACGGGUGAGUAAAACGUGAGUAACCUGCCCUUAACUUUGGGAUAACUUCAGGAAACUGGGGCUAAUACCGCAUAGAAGCUCCUGCUGCAUGGUGGGGGUUGGAAAGUUUCGGCGGUUGGGGAUGGACUCGCGGCUUAUCAGCUGGUUGGUGGGGUAGUGGCUUACCAAGGCUUUGACGGGUAGCCGGCCUGAGAGGGUGACCGGCGACAUUGGGACUGAGAGACGGCCCAGACUCCUACGGGAGGCAGCAGUGGGGAAUAUUGCACAAUGGGCGGAAGCCUGAUGCAGCAACGCCGCGUGCGGGAUGACGUCCUUCGGGUUGUAAACCGCUUUCGCCUGUAACGAAGCGUGAGUGACGGUAAUGGGUAAAGAAGCACCGGCUAACUACGUG
rnacentral:rRNA from 1 species